CAAAAUAUUCAAGUGAAUCUUGAAAUUUGACAAAAGAAUGUAGAGAAAUUAAUUCGCAUUGAAGGAUAGUAGUGUUAAUACGGAAUGUCGAAUAUUUUACAUUGAAAUUGGCCAUUAGUAGAACUGGUUAUAAUGAGAAUAAAAGAUAUAUAGCACUUCAUGACUAUAAGUGAUUCAUGAUACAGUUUUAGUUUUCUGUCUUUCAUUUGCUUUUAGAAUCUUGAGAUAAUGGAAUUUUGGUAUGAUAAAUUAAUGCAGUUUAUUUCAAUUGUGGUAGUUGAAAAAUAAUACUAGUUUGUAUGACUUUUAAGACGUAAAAUUUGAAACCACAUAAAUUAGUCCGUAUUACUUUAUUUAUUUUCAGGCUUUUUUCAGAGGAACGAUUUUUAGUGAAUAUUAUACCUCUGUACUUAGUAUGAAUUUGAGAUAUGAGAUUGUGUAUAUGUUUCUGUUUGUAGUAGAUGGUCUUGGCUCAUGUUAACCAGAGAGUAAGGAUUAUCUUGUUACAAAUUUUUUGGUGACAUUUAGCAUUUCUCAAUUAAAAAAAAGAUUCUAACUUUAUUUUUAUCAUUAAAAAAAGGAUAAUGUUGGUUGUGACUAGAUUUGUGUACAUGAUGCUUUAUAUGUGUGUUAUUAAUAUUAGUUCUAUGCAUAUCAUAACGCUCCUAAGGAUGAGAGAGAUGUAAAAUCCAGUGGUUUGGUAUUAGUGUCGUUAUAUAAAGGGUUUACCUGUGAAAAUAGAGAUUGAACUCUAAAGUUAUUAAUUUUCAUUUGAGAAAUAAAGCAAUAGAUUAUUUAUGAGGUUUACUUAUAGAGUAGUAUAUUUGUUUUUGAAGUUUUCUGGCAAAUUAAUUGCCUCUUUUCUAUUUGUCCUCCUGAGUUUAUUUAUUUGACUGUUUGCAGGAAUAAGAGAACAAAACAUAGCUGAAAUUUUAUUAUCUUUAUUAUUAUCAUAAAGUUAAGCAAGAGAUUAUUAAGAAAAUAUCCAGAAUUAAGUUUCAUGGUGUCCAUUUCUUUGUAUGCUGCUGCAGGAUUGAGUUGCUUAUUGACAUAUUUGAUUAUAUGUUUCUUCAUUCUCUGUUUCAAUGUUGCCUUUUCAUAAUUAAUUCUCCUUCUCUGUAUUCCCUUGCAAAAUUCAAAAAAUCUUGUCAUCUAUGCAUCACUUUAUUUAUAUCCUAUCAUCUCUCUAUGUAAUUAAUUGACUUCAAUAACUAUUAAACAAUAUUGGAUUAGUGAACGACGCUAUGUAAUCUAGAAUUUUACUGUAACAUUUGGCAUCUAUGGAAGUGUCAUAGGCUGCACAACUUGAUGUAUCUAUCAAAUAAUAUAGUUAACAUAAGUUAGAUUUUGUCACAUGUUUACUACCUAUACAGAUGCAUAAACGGAUUGAAACCAAAAGCUUACAGUCAUGUUUACUACUCAACGCCAUGCUGCUCUUAUUUAUCAGGAAAUACAGUCUGAUCCAGCUCCUAUUGCAGUAUCAACAUCACAGAUCACGGAAGAUGAUAAGCACCAGAGCGUUAUCCCCGAGAUCUCUGAGGAAACAGUAUCCAAUGUUGAUUGCCACAGUGAUGGAUAUGAUGCUCAAUUGCUCAUGAUGUCCAAAAUAAACUUGCAGAACUAGCUGCACAGGUUAGAUUGAUUUUCUGCAGGAGGAUCAGAUGAACUUUGACAUAUAUUAUAACCCAAAAGAAGGUCUAUUAAAUGACAGACUAUUCUCCCCAGCUCUGGUGCAUAUGCCCCAAGAAUUUCAUUACGAAGCAAACAAUGAAUCAGAGAUAUGUGUAUGCCAGCUACUAAUCCUGAAGAGGCAAUUUACAGAAGGAUUGCUCGUGUGACAGCACCAGAAUCUCGCAGCACCUUUGAUUGUAGUGGUGAUGAUGAUAGAAAGGGCAAGAUUGUAUUAUUACAGAACAAUUUCCAGAUGGUUAGUAGUUUUUAAUACUGAUGCUAGGUAUAAAAACUAGUUUGUUUGUAAUUGUAACAAUUAGUUUAAAGUUUCCAAUAUCCACUUUGAUUUGAUUUGAUUUUUA